GUUCGGUCUUGGAGCUCCGUCUUCGGCAGCGGGCUCGGGGGCCUCGGACUCUGCAUAAGGCCCCGGAAAAGAUGACCGGCCCCGGGCUGGGCGCGGUGGCUCAUGCCUGUAACCCUGGAGCUUUGGGAGGCCUUGGCGGGCGGAUCGCUUGAGUCCAGGAGUUCGAGAUCAGCCUGGGCAACAAAGCGAGACACCACCCCCCACCCCCAGUCGCUACAGAAGAAAAAAAAAAAAAUUAACCGGGCGUGGUGUCUCGCGCCCAGUGGUCCUAGCUCCUCGGGAAGUCAUCAGAGAUGCCAGACCAGAGGAAAUACAGCAAUCAAAGCAGGCAAACCUGUUGCUAAAUGUGUUUUUGAGAGUAAAACUCCUUGGCCAAAUACUUCAAGACGCUGAUGAUUCUCAAAACUGUCAUCAUGAACCAUCUGGAGAAGGCCAGAUGUUUACAUUUCACGGAAAUGUGGUCCUGAAACCUUCAUUCUGAGCGCAGAGCUAACCACCUCCUCCUAUUCUUGGCAACACUAGUAAAUGAUACAUUACCACAGAGCAGGUGAAAUGCAGCAGAGACAUCUACGCUAGAACCUGAGGGUUGCUAUGUUGUAAGAAGCAUGCCCAGGUUUAUACUAGGACGCUCGGCUGGAGCAUUGGUUCACCGCUGUCCACUAUUUUAAAGACAUGCCAGAAAUAACAAUCCUAUUAUCUGAUUUCCAAGUAAGUCAGGAUGUUCCUACUAACAGCCCUUCCUUUUAUGGUAGUGAGAAUAGUCUAGAAACUUAGUGUUUUAUGAUAAUUCAUGUGCCGUGGCUCUCUUCCAGGAGAUUUUAAUCUCCCUCUGGCCUUGUCUUAUUCACCUUUAUGUCCCAGGACAAAAAUGUUGGACUGUUUGUUAUAUGUUAAUAAGUGGGCUGGGCGCGGUGGCUCACGCCUGUAAUCCCAGCACUUUGGGAGGCCGAGGUGGGCAGAUCACAAGGUCAGGAGUUCAAGACCAGCCUGCCCAAUAUGGUGAAACCCCAUCUGUACUAAAAAUACAAAAACAUUAGCCAGGUGUAGUGGCACAUGCCUGUAAUCCCAGCUACUCGGGAGGUUGAGGCAGGAGAAUUGCUUGAAUCCGGGAGAUGGAGGUUACAGUGAGCCAAGAUUGCGACACUGCACUCCAGCCUGGGCAACAGAGCAAGACUUCGUCUUAAAAAAUAAAAUAAAAUAAAAUAAAUGAUUGAUAAACAGUGAAUGAAGGCUGGGCGCAGUGGCUCACACCUGGAAUCCCAACACUUUGGGAAGCCAAGGCAGGCAGAUCACCUGAAGUCAGGAGUUCAAAUCCAGCCUGGCCAACAUGGCGAAACCCCGUCUUUACUAAAAAAUACUAACAAUUAGGCUGGGCACGGUGGCUCACGCCUGUAAUCCUAGCACUUUAGGAGGCCAAGGUGGGCGGAUUGCCUGAGCUCAGGCGUUCAAGACCAGCCUGGGCAACACAGUGAAACCCCGUCUCUACUAAAAUACAAAAAAUUAACCAGGCAUGGCGGUGUGUGCCUGUAAUCCCAGCUACUCAGGAGGCUGAGACAGGAUAAUUGCUUGAACGUGGGAGGCGGAGGUUGCAGUGAGCCAAGAUCACACCACUGUGUCACAAACGUCCGUGUGAAGAGAGUCCACCAAACAGGCUUUGUGUGAGCAACAAGGCUGUUGAUUUCACCUGGGUGCAGGCGGGCUGAGUCCAAAAAAGGAGUCAGCAAAGGGUGGUGGGAUUAUCAUUAAUUCUUACCCUUUUGGGAUAGGCGUACAAAGUACAUUCUCAAGGGCUCGGAGAAUAUUACAAAGUACAUUCACAAGGUUAGGGGGAGAAUAUUACAAAGUACCUUCUUAAGCGGGGGGAGAGGCCGGGCACGGUGGCACACGCCUGUAAUCCCAGCACUUUGGGAGGCCGAGGUGGGUGGAUCACAAGGUCAGGAGAUCGAGAC
rnacentral:lncRNA from 1 species